rnacentral:rRNA from 1 species
UAGGGAAUCUUCCGCAAUGGGCGAAAGCCUGACGGAGCAACGCCGCGUGAGUGAUGAAGGUCUUCGGAUCGUAAAACUCUGUUAUUAGGGAAGAACAAAUGUGUAAGUAACUAUGCACGUCUUGACGGUACCUAAUCAGAAAGCCACGGCUAACUACGUGCCAGCAGCCGCGGUAAUACGUAGGUGGCAAGCGUUAUCCGGAAUUAUUGGGCGUAAAGCGCGCGUAGGCGGUUUUUUAAGUCUGAUGUGAAAGCCCACGGCUCAACCGUGGAAGGUCAUUGGAAACUGGAAAACUUGAGUGCAGAAGAGGAAAGUGGAAUUCCAUGUGUUGCGGUGAAAUGCGCAGAGAUAUGGAGGAACACCAGUGGCGAAGGCGACGUUCUGGUCUGUAACUGACGCUGAUGUGCGAAAGCGUGGGGAUCAAACAGG